GAUGAACGCUGGCGGCGUGCCUAAUACAUGCAAGUCGAGCGAACGGACGAGAAGCUUGCUUCUCUGAUGUUAGCGGCGGACGGGUGAGUAACACGUGGAUAACCUACCUAUAAGACUGGGAUAACUUCGGGAAACCGGAGCUAAUACCGGAUAAUAUUUUGAACCGCAUGGUUCAAAAGUGAAAGACGGUCUUGCUGUCACUUAUAGAUGGAUCCGCGCUGCAUUAGCUAGUUGGUAAGGUAACGGCUUACCAAGGCAACGAUGCAUAGCCGACCUGAGAGGGUGAUCGGCCACACUGGAACUGAGACACGGUCCAGACUCCUACGGGAGGCAGCAGUAGGGAAUCUUCCGCAAUGGGCGAAAGCCUGACGGAGCAACGCCGCGUGAGUGAUGAAGGUCUUCGGAUCGUAAAACUCUGUUAUUAGGGAAGAACAUAUGUGUAAGUAACUGUGCACAUCUUGACGGUACCUAAUCAGAAAGCCACGGCUAACUACGUGCCAGCAGCCGCGGUAAUACGUAGGUGGCAAGCGUUAUCCGGAAUUAUUGGGCGUAAAGCGCGCGUAGGCGGUUUUUUAAGUCUGAUGUGAAAGCCCACGGCUCAACCGUGGAGGGUCAUUGGAAACUGGAAAACUUGAGUGCAGAAGAGGAAAGUGGAAUUCCAUGUGUAGCGGUGAAAUGCGCAGAGAUAUGGAGGAACACCAGUGGCGAAGGCGACUUUCUGGUCUGUAACUGACGCUGAUGUGCGAAAGCGUGGGGAUCAAACAGGAUUAGAUACCCUGGUAGUCCACGCCGUAAACGAUGAGUGCUAAGUGUUAGGGGGUUUCCGCCCCUUAGUGCUGCAGCUAACGCAUUAAGCACUCCGCCUGGGGAGUACGACCGCAAGGUUGAAACUCAAAGGAGUUGACGGGGACCCGCACAAGCGGUGGAGCAUGUGGUUUAAUUCGAAGCAACGCGAAGAACCUUACCAAAUCUUGACAUCCUUUGACAACUCUAGAGAUAGAGCCUUCCCCUUCGGGGGACAAAGUGACAGGUGGUGCAUGGUUGUCGUCAGCUCGUGUCGUGAGAUGUUGGGUUAAGUCCCGCAACGAGCGCAACCCUUAAGCUUAGUUGCCAUCAUUAAGUUGGGCACUCUAAGUUGACUGCCGGUGACAAACCGGAGGAAGGUGGGGAUGACGUCAAAUCAUCAUGCCCCUUAUGAUUUGGGCUACACACGUGCUACAAUGGACAAUACAAAGGGCAGCGAAACCGCGAGGUCAAGCAAAUCCCAUAAAGUUGUUCUCAGUUCGGAUUGUAGUCUGCAACUCGACUACAUGAAGCUGGAAUCGCUAGUAAUCGUAGAUCAGCAUGCUACGGUGAAUACGUUCCCGGGUCU
rnacentral:rRNA from 1 species